CUACUAUUACAUAAUCGAAUCAACAUGCAGAAUUUAAUCCCUAAACCCACAACACUACAAAUGGAGAAUAAAACCAAAAAUUCAUGGCACCAAAGGGUCAAUGUUUUGUUCAAUGUUCAAAUGUAGAUCUGUAACACUAUAACUAUAUGUAAAUUAACUUUUGGAGACAAAAAUUUAAGAAAAACUAAAAUGGGUUAGAAAUAUAACAAAGAAUGAGAGAUAUAACACAAAACCAUCAAAAUCUAAUUCAUAAGAUCAUCAAUAAAUAAAUAGCAUUUAAGAAAUAAGCUUGCUAGAUAGAACCAAAUCCUAAAAAAAUAGAAACAAUUAUUCUAGUUGCAAACCAAACAUAAGAAACAGUGUGAAGAAAACCAUGAGACAUAUAUAGCUUUUAAGUAAAUAUUAAAAGAAGCUAUGUAUCAUUGUAAACCAAAUUUAAAGUUGUUGGAAGGCCUUCAAACUGCAUCUAAGUUUGUAAAGUUUGUCUAAAAUAGUAGUGAGCCCAACAUCCAAGAAACAGAAUCGCUCAUACCAUUGCUUGGUAGGUUGGUUUCAUUACAAAUCAUACUACAAAUCUCUCACACCAUGCUUUAAAACCUCUCAAAACAAAGAAACAGAAUCAACAACAAUAGUUAAUAUAUAGAGCAACCUUCCAUUUUCAUUCUCCUCCUUAGUUGCCUUCCAAAAAAAUGAAUGCGUUAAAAAAUGAUUGGGAGAGGAANNNNNNNNNNNNNNNNNNNNNNNNNNNNNNNNNNNNNNNNNNNNNNNNNNNNNNNNNNNNNNNNNNACCAAAAGAUAAUAUGAAAAAAAACAUUAUAGAAUCUAAUAGGGGGGACAUCAUAGAGUUUUAUAAAAAAUGGGACAAAGAUGAUGAUCUUUUGAAGGAAAGACAAUCUUCCUAAAGAUUUACAUUACUAAACUUAUAUUAACCAAUCUUCCUAAAGAUUUGGGACAAAGAAAAAAUGAGAGAAGCUAAGCAUAUAUUAACCAAAAUAUAUUUGUUACCUAUCUUCCUAAAGAUGAUAGAUCCUAAGUAGUAGAUUAAGAGAAUCUAGAAUAACCAUUCUGUUGAUCAUCUUGUCAUAUAGAUGAGGGAUUCUUUCAUAAACCUUCAAUCAAACAACAUACUAAAAACCAUAAAAUUAACAACAAACUAACAAUAAAAUUAACAGCUAAAAUGGUUAUCAAUCAAUACAGAAGAAAACAUAAACACCCUUAAAGAGCUAAUAAGGCAAACAAUUAUCCAAAAAACCAGCAAACUACUAACCAAAAACCAUUGAACCAGCAACCAAAAUCCAGAAAGUAUAAAAAUUAUAAAAUAAAAUAAAAUACCCUGAUUCAUGUACUUAUUGUGAUUGUGAAAAAAUAAAAUAACCUUGAUUGAAAUUAGGAACACCAAUUAAGGCAAACAUUGAAAUCAAUGGAAUUAGAAAUACAAUUAUUAUAGUAAAAUAUUUAAACAAUAAUUUAUAAAAUUAAAAAGCAUACCUUGUGAAGCCCUUUGAGCAUUCCUUUAUGAAGAUAACCUGCAUAUCAAUAUCAAUUGACAAAAGAAAAUGCAGACAGAACAAAAAUUAAUGUUAAAAACAAAUAUUGGAUACAUAUAAAUGGUGAAACCCAAUCAAAAUUCAAAAUCCGAAAAUCAAAAUAAAUUUUGCAGUCCCAAAUGGACCUAGAAAUCAUCUAACAACCCCUUCAUCAAUCACUUAAAUACAAAAUAAAAAAUGAAAUAAAACUGAGCUAGGAGACAUAGAGUAGAGAAAGAGAAGUACCGUCAAAUUCCAACAACAACUCGAGCUUAAAUAUAUCAUCUGCAAACAACCCAUGAAUCGUUUAAAUACAAAAAGAAAACCAAAGAAAGAUCCAGAAAAUCAAGAGUGAUACCUACACUUUGGGAGAACAUGAUUCGAAUUUGGUGAAUGAAACUUUUACCUCAUGAUGCGAGAAUGUGAAAAACAAAAUAAAAAGAGGAUUAGAAAAUUAGGGAUCCUAAAGUAAAUUGAAGAAAAUUAGGGAUUUCAAAAAUGAACAUACCUUAGAGGGAGGAGCUCAGUUUCAAUAUACAUGNNNNNNNNNNNNNNCUUGGAGUUCAUCAAAUGAAGAAGUGUGUGUCUAUGGUGUUUAGAGAGAGAGAGAGAGAGAUGAGAGUUUGAAAUUUGAAAGUUGAGAAUUUGUUUUCAAUAUCCAUGGGUUGAGG
rnacentral:lncRNA from 1 species